AGUGAACGCUGGCGGCAGGCCUAACACAUGCAAGUCGAACGGCAGCACAGUAAGAGCUUGCUCUUACGGGUGGCGAGUGGCGGACGGGUGAGGAAUACAUCGGAAUCUACUUUUUCGUGGGGGAUUACGUAGGGAAACUUACGCUAAUACCGCAUACGACCUACGGGUGAAAGCAGGGGAGCUUCGGACCUUGCGCGAUUGUAUGAGCCGAUGUCGGAUUAGCUAGUUGGCGGGGUAAAGGCCCACCAAGGCGACGAUCCGUAGCUGGUCUGAGAGGAUGAUCAGCCACACUGGAACUGAGACACGGUCCAGACUCCUACGGGAGGCAGCAGUGGGGAAUAUUGGACAAUGGGCGCAAGCCUGAUCCAGCCAUGCCGCGUGGGUGAAGAAGGCCUUCGGGUUGUAAAGCCCUUUUGUUGGGAAAGAAAAGCAGCAGGUUAAUACCCCGCUGUUCUGACGGUACCCAAAGAAUAAGCACCGGCUAACUUCGUG
rnacentral:rRNA from 1 species